CCUACGGGAGGCAGCAGUAGGGAAUCUUUCACAAUGGGCGAAAGCCUGAUGGAGCAACGCCGCGUGCAGGAUGAAGGCCUUCGGGUUGUAAACUGCUUUUAUAAGCGAGAAAUAUGAUGGUAACUUAUGAAUAAGGAUCGGCUAACUACGUGCCAGCAGCCGCGGUCAUACGUAGGAUCCGAGCAUUAUCCGGAGUGACUGGGUGUAAAGAGUUGCGUAGGUGGCAUAAUAAGUAGCUAGUGAAAUCUGGUGGCUCAACCAUUCAGACUAUUAGCUAAACUGUUAAGCUCGAGACCGUUAGGGGUAACUGGAAUUUCUAGUGUAGGAGUGAAAUCCGUAGAUAUUAGAAGGACCACCAAUAGCGUAGGCAGGUUGCUGGGACGGUUCUGACACUAAGGCACGAAAGCGUAGGGAGCAAACGGGAUUAGAUACCCCUGUAGUC
rnacentral:rRNA from 1 species